CCAUCAAUGAUGCUAACCUCCUGGAAGCAUGUAUCUACCGCCUGCUGAAGCUCUAUUGCCGGGAGCAGCCCUAUUACCUGAACCUGAUUGAGCUCUUCCUGCAGAGUUCCUAUCAGACUGAGAUUGGGCAGACUCUGGACCUCAUCACAGCCCCCCAGGGCAAUGUGGAUCUUGUCAGAUUCACUGAAAAGAGGUACAAAUCUAUUGUCAAGUACAAGACAGCUUUCUACUCCUUCUACCUUCCUAUAGCUGCAGCCAUGUACAUGGCAGGAAUUGAUGGCGAGAAGGAGCAUGCCAAUGCCAAGAAGAUCCUGCUGGAGAUGGGGGAGUUCUUUCAGAUUCAGGACAACAAAUGCAGCUGGCUGGUGGUUCAGUGUCUGCAACGGGCCACUCCAGAACAGUACCAGAUCCUGAAGGAAAAUUACGGGCAGAAGGAGGCUGAGAAAGUGGCCCGGGUGAAGGCGCUAUAUGAGGAGCUGGAUCUGCCGGCUGUGUUCUUGCAAUAUGAGGAAGACAGUUACAGCCACAUUAUGGCUCUCAUUGAACAGUACGCAGCACCCCUGCCCCCAGCCAUCUUUCUGGGGCUUGCGCGCAAAAUCUACAAGCGGAGAAAGUGACCUAGAGACUGCAAGGGCGGGGAGAGGAGGCUCUCAAUAAAUAAUCGUGUAACCUU
rnacentral:sRNA from 1 species